CUGACUGAAAAGAAUAAAACAGAGGAGCUGUGACUCAACCUGAGACAAGUAAAGUUAUACUCCACAAACUGAGACGUGUCAGGAUGGAUUUCCGAGCAGCCGUUUUUCUAAUGUGUAUUUUGGUGUCAGCAUCUUUUAUUACUCAAAGUAAAGCAGUCAUAGGCCCUUCGAUCGAAUCUGGGAAAAGAUACUCAAAGUUUUCACUAGAAGCGGAUGAAGGGAACUUCAACCAGAACUCAUUUGACGAAGGACGGACUAUUCGAGAUUUAUGCGUGGCUGCGAGGGACGUCUGUGAAGGAGGAAAAAGAAAGUGAUGAAAACACCUCACAACAAGUUUAGAGCUUCUUUGCGUCAAGUUAUAAUAAUCAAAACUAUAUGUAAAGUUUCGGAGAAUAUUGUGGAUCACGGAUUGUGAGGAAAGAUAAUAAAAUAAUUAAAAUCGAGUGUAAAAUUUCAAA